rnacentral:piRNA from 1 species
UGGCCACUCCUUCUCAUGAACUUGCU